GAUGAACGCUGGCGGCGUUCUUAACACAUGCAAGUCGAACGAUGAAGCCCAGCUUGCUGGGUGGCUUAGUGGCGAACGGGUGAUUAACACGUGAUUAACCUGCCCUUGACUCUGGGAUAAGCCUGGGAAACUGGGUCUAAUACUGGAUAUGACUUCUCAUCGCCUGGUUGGGGGUGGAAAGUUUUAUUGUUCUUGGAUUGACUCGCGGCCUAUCAGCUUUUUGGUGAGGUAAUGGCUCACCAAGGCGACGACGUGUAGCCGGCAUGAGAAGGUGACCGGGCACACUAGGACUGAGAGACGGCCCAGAAUCAAACGGGAGGAAAAAGUGGGGAAUAUGGCACAAGAAGCACAAGCCUGAUGGAGCGACGCCGAGAGAGGGAUGACGGCCUUCGGGUUGUAAACCUCUUUCAGUAGGGAAGAAGCGAGAGUGACGGUACCUGCAGAAGAAGCGACGGCUAACUACGUG
rnacentral:rRNA from 1 species